rnacentral:rRNA from 1 species
UAAGCAUAUCAAUAAGCGGAGGAAAAGAAACCAACAGGGAUUGCCUUAGUAACGGCGAGUGAAGCGGCAACAGCUCAGAUUUGAAAUCUAUUUUUUAAUUAAAAUCGAAUUGUAAUCUGUAGAAGGUUGAUUUGGCUGAAAAUCUGAUUUAAGUUCCCUGGAAUAGGACAUCAUAGAGGGUGAGAAUCCCGUGAUUAUCAGAAAUAAGUCAUUAAAAUCACCUUUCGACGAGUCGAGUUGUUUGGGAAUGCAGCUCUAAAUGGGUGGUAAAUUUCAUCUAAAGCUAAAUACCUGCCAGAGACCGAUAGCGAACAAGUAGAGUGAUCGAAAGAUGAAAAGCACUUUGAAAAGAGAGUUAAAAAGUACGUGAAAUUGUUGAAAGGGAAGCGCUUGCCAUUAGACUUGAUAUUUAAAUUCAAUUUACUCAUGGGUAAAUGUAUUUUUUAUUUAUCAGGCCAGCAUCAAUUUAAUGGGAUUUUUAAAUAUUUUGGAGAUGUAGUAAUAAUUUCGAUUAUUAUGUUAUAAGCCAUUAUACCAUAAAUCCACAUUAGAUUGAGGUCUGCCCUUCGGGAAGGAUGCUGGCAUAAUGAUUGUAAGCGACCCGUCUUGAA